ensembl:lncRNA
CAAGGAAUGGAGGAACGUACAGUAUAACGGCCCACCCAGCAGACUGUCGACCAAUCGCAUUCAUGUUGUCAUGCUGUGUCGAGCGGUUGCUAAAGUCAAACGCGUGACAGUGUACGAGUCGAGAAACGUGCCUAUUUUCCUCAAAAGUCUAUAUGUUCCAGUGGUGUGCCUGCCCCCAGUCUUUAGCAACGUGUCCAUUGUCUCCUUCAACCUUGAGCACACUCUGACCUGACUGCCCUGUUCAGGGACUCCUGCCAACACCCACUUCACAGUUCAGAGCCUCAGGAAGAACUCAUGUGAAGGAUUGUGCCAGGUUGAAGACCAACCAGCCAUAUGACCUCUUUAACAAGUUCAAGGAUUCCUUCUGUUACUGUCAGGCCCGUGUUCAGGCCUUCACCCUUAGCCAGAAGUCCAACUGAGUGAAACUUUAGUCUGCUCUAGUGGUGUCCGUGUCAGGCUGUGGGAACUGCCCUUACAUCCAGGGGCCUACAGCGCUCUCAAAAUUAGGUGACUUCUAAUGAGGUGCGCCAGGGACAAAAUACUCAGGUGAGAUUGACGAUAAAAACAUUUUUUUUAAAUCAAUUUUAGAAUGAGUCUGUAACGUAACGAAAUGUGGAAAAAGUCAAGGGGUCUGAAUACUUUCCGAAUGGAAUAUACCUAGAAAAGAAAGCAAGUUCUGAGAAUGUGGUCAAA